UACGUAGGGUGCAAGCGUUAAUCGGAAUUACUGGGCGUAAAGCGUGCGCAGGCGGUUAUGUAAGACAGUUGUGAAAUCCCCGGGCUCAACCUGGGAACUGGCAUCUGUGACUGCAUAGCUAGAGUACGGUAGAGGGGGAUGGAAUUCCGCGUGUAGCAGUGAAAUGCGUAGAUAUGCGGAGGAACACCGAUGGCGAAGGCAAUCCCCUGGACCUGUACUGACGCUCAUGCACGAAAGCGUGGGGAGCAACAGG
rnacentral:rRNA from 1 species